GGGAAUAUUGACAUGGGGGAAACCCUGAUGCAGCGACGCCGCGUGAGUGAAGAAGUAUUUCGGUAUGUAAAGCUCUAUCAGCAGGGAAGAAAAUGACGGUACCUGACUAAGAAGCCCCGGCUAACUAC
rnacentral:rRNA from 1 species